GAGGGCGCUGCGCGUCAGGGCUGCGGGGCGGCUUUGCUGAGGCGCGAUUCGGCUCCUCGCCAGUCACCUCAGCCCGAGUCCUCCCUACCAGCCUGAGAGCUGGCACCAUAGUGAUGAAGCCCCUGAGCAGGAGUGCAAGAGCCAAAGGAAGAUGCUGAAGAACACAGAAGAAUGCCUUCAGAUAAGGAGAGACAGAGCUUCCUAUGACAGCAGGAAGGUUUGAAUCUGCUGUCAUUUAAAAUCCCAUUCCAAAGGUCAUGUUUGUGUUUUAAAUGAAAUGCGAGGCUGACCUUUAUGCUCUGCCAGACAACAGUAGUAGUGAUGCAAGUGCUUCCUUUGAAUUCUGCAGGCUGAUUUUGUGCAGCGGGCUUUCCUUCAGAAGUGGCACGUGAGCUCUGCCUCUCCUGUCCUGCCGGUGCACCUUCUGUCCUACAUGACCAAGAUCCUACCCUGGGACGCAGUCUGGGGCUGACAAUCCAUGAAGGAAGAAUAAGGGAAUCCUGAAGCAGCAACAGACUGUUUGCUCCUGGACUUUGUCCAGAGGGACUGUUUGCACAUCAGUGCUCUCUCUUACCAGACACUCGUGUGACUGUGCUUGGAGCUGCUGGACUGGAACGCUUCAGACCCAUCCUCUCCAAAGGAGCUGCCCAUUCACUGUAACCCUUGGUGUGGAGCAGGGUGGCACCAGCCCUGGCUUGCUUGGGACCAUGGAAGAAAAGGAGAUGUCACCGAGUCUCACCUCAGAGAGCAGCAUAUUGGACCUCCCCUCUGUUUGUGACCUAGCAGAGCCCUUUCUGCCUCCACACAGCUCUGAAAACAGCCAGGAGCUUUAUCCUUCUGGGGAUGUUUUUCCCUCCCCACCCACAGGUAACAGCUUCUGCUUCUCCACAUGCUCUUUCUUUAGCCAGUGCUUCAUCU